rnacentral:rRNA from 1 species
UACGUAGGUCCCGAGCGUUGUCCGGAUUUAUUGGGCGUAAAGCGAGCGCAGGUGGUUUAUUAAGUCUGGUGUAAAAGGCAGUGGCUCAACCAUUGUAUGCAUUGGAAACUGGUGGACUUGAGUGCAGGAGAGGAGAGUGGAAUUCCAUGUGUAGCGGUGAAAUGCGUAGAUAUAUGGAGGAACACCGGUGGCGAAAGCGGCUCUCUGGCCUGUAACUGACACUGAGGCUCGAAAGCGUGGGGAGCAAACAGG